rnacentral:rRNA from 1 species
AACGAACGCUGGCGGCGUGCCUAACACAUGCAAGUUGAGCGCGAAAGGGAGCAAUCCCCGGUAGAGCAGCGCACGGGUGAGUAACACGUGAGUAAUCUUCCUUCGUGUCUGGAAUAACCACUGGAAACGGUGGCUAAUACUCGAUAAGCCCACGAUCCCCUCGGGGAUUGAGGGAAAAGGGGGGCGCAAGCCUCUCGCACGAAGAUGAGCUCGCGGUCCAUUAGCUAGUUGGCGGGGUAACGGCCCACCAAGGCGAUGAUGGAUAGCUGGUCUGAGAGGACGAUCAGCCACACUGGGACUGAGACACGGCCCAGACUCCUACGGGAGGCAGCAGUGGGGAAUCUUGCGCAAUGGACGAAAGUCUGACGCAGCAACGCCGCGUGAGUGAUGAAGGUCUUUGGAUCGUAAAGCUCUUUCGGGAGGGAAGAAAUGGUUAUGCGCUAAUACCGCAUGGCCUUGACGGUACCUUCAGAAGAAGCACCGGCUAACUCUGUG